rnacentral:rRNA from 1 species
GAAAAGAAACUAACAAGGAUUCCCCUAGUAACGGCGAGUGAAGCGGGAAGAGCUCAAGCUUAAAAUCUCCGGUCAGGUUCUGGUCGGCGAAUUGUAGUCUAUAGACGCGUUAUCAGUGUGGCCGGUCGGGGUAAGUUCCUUGGAAGAGGACAGCAAUGAGGGUGAUACUCCCGUUUGUACCUGAUUGUGUUGCGCGUACGAUGCGUGUUCUUUGAGUCGCGUUGUUUGGGAAUGCAGCGCAAAGUAGGUGGUAAAUUCCAUCUAAAGCUAAAUAUUGGUGCGAGACCGAUAGCGAACAAGUACCGUGAGGGAAAGAUGAAAAGAACUUUGAAAAGAGAGUUAAAGAGUACCUGAAACUGCUGAAAGGGAACCGGGUCGUUGCCAGUGUCUAUAAUCCUUGGCAUAUUUCAUUGCCGUGUCUGUUUGUUCCGCGUGUUUGUAGCAGUUUGUUCUGUGCAUUGCGUGGUUGUGAGCGGUCGUGGCGGUGCCCUGUGCUUUGGUGGGACGUCAGAGUCAGUUCGUAUGCUGCGGGAAAUGGUCGUGCAGGAGGUAGGUCGGGGGCUUGCUCUCGGCUGUUAUAUCUGUGCGUGCCAGUAGUCGUGGUUGGGACUGAGGUGCCUACAACGUGCUUUUGAGUCUUUGGGUCGCUCUGUGCGCGCGUGUGCGGGAUAGCUUGCUAUGCCGUGUGCGUUUGUGUGUGGAUGGCGUGCUCUCUGUAACUUGUUGCCGUUCGGGACUUUGACGAAAUGGCGCGAUCCGACCC